UACGGAGGGUGCAAGCGUUGUUCGGAAUCAUUGGGCGUAAAGCGCGUGUAGGCGGCUUGGCAAGUCAGUUGUGAAAGCCCGGGGCCCAACCCCGGAACUGCAUCUGAAACUGCCUGGCUAGAGUCCCGGAGAGGCAGGUGGAAUUCCCGGUGUAGCGGUGGAAUGCGUAGAGAUCGGGAAGAACAUCAGUGGCGAAGGCGGCCUGCUGGGCUGUUGCUGACGCUGAGGCGCGACAGCGUGGGGGAGCAAACAGG
rnacentral:rRNA from 1 species